AAUUGUCAGCCGCCGCGCGGUAAUACGUAGACCUCAAGCGUUAUUCGGAUUUAUUGGGCGUAAAGCGUGUGUAGGAGGUUUUAUAAGUCGGACGUUAAAUUUCAGAGCCUAACUUUGAAGCCGCGUUCGAUACUGUAAGACUUGAGGGUACUAGAGGUGCAUGGAACACAUGGUGUAGGGGUGACAUCCGUUGAUAUCAUGUGGAACACCAAAGGCGAAGGCAGUGCACUGGGGUACUCCUGACUCUGAGACACGAAAGCGUGGGGAGCAAAAAGGAUUAGAUACCCUUGUAGUCCACGCUGUAAACGAUGCCCGCUAGCUGUUCCGAGUAUCGACCCUCGGAGUGGCGUAGCUAACGCGUUAAGCGGGCCGCCUGGGAAGUACGGCCGCAAGGCUAAAACUCAAAGGAAUAGACGGGGACUCGCACAAGCGGUGGAGCAUGAGGUUUAAUUCGAUGAUAAGCGAGGAACCUUACCAGGGCUUGAAUUUCUACUGACAGCUUCCAGAAACGGAGGCCUUCCUUCGGGACAGUAGAACAGGUGCUGCAUGGUUGUCGUCAGCUCGUGUCUUGAGAUGUUUCAUUAAGUUGAUUAACGAGCGCAACCCCUAUUGCGUGUUACAAGUGUCACGCGAAACUGCCCUACUCUGUAGGGAGGAAGGAGGGGAUGACGUCAAAUCCGCAUGGCCCUCUGAUGCCCUGGGCCACACUCGUGCUACAAUGGCCGGUAUAAUGGGUUGCCAAAGCGUAAGCUGGAGCUAAUCCCAUCAAAGCCGGCCCCAGUUCGGAUUGAGGGCUGCAACUCGCCCUCAUGAAGCCGGAAUCGCUAGUAAUCGCGGAUCAGCCAUGCCGCGGUGAAUACGUUCUCGAGUCUUGCACACACCGCCCGUCAAAUCGGCCUGUAUGCGAUUUCCUCUACGCAUCUUUGCGACUGGUCUGUAGGCGCUGAUAAACAGCCGAACGCCACACCCUGAGGACUGACGAGUUGUUCGGAUCGCUCAAACAACUGGAAU
rnacentral:rRNA from 1 species